rnacentral:rRNA from 1 species
UGGGGAAUAUUGCACAAUGGGCGCAAGCCUGAUGCAGCCAUGCCGCGUGUGUGAAGAAGGCCUUCGGGUUGUAAAGCACUUUCAGCGAGGAGGAAGGUGGUGAGCUUAAUACGCUCAUCAAUUGACGUUACUCGCAGAAGAAGCACCGGCUAACUCCGUGCCAGCAGCCGCGGUAAUACGGAGGGUGCAAGCGUUAAUCGGAAUUACUGGGCGUAAAGCGCACGCAGGCGGUUUGUUAAGUCAGAUGUGAAAUCCCCGGGCUCAACCUGGGAACUGCAUUUGAAACUGGCAAGCUAGAGUCUCGUAGAGGGGGGUAGAAUUCCAGGUGUAGCGGUGAAAUGCGUAGAGAUCUGGAGGAAUACCGGUGGCGAAGGCGGCCCCCCUGGACGAAGACUGACGCUCAGGUGCGAAAGCGUGGGGCAGCAAACAGGAUUAGAUACCCUGGUAGUCCAGCGCUGUAAACGAUGUCGAUUUGGAGGUUGUGCCCUUGAGGCGUGGCUUCCGGAGCUAACGCGUUAAA